CGAUGAAGCCAGCUUGCUGGUGGAUUAGUGGCGAACGGGUGAGUAACACGUGGGUGAUCUGCCCCAAACUUUGGGAUAAGCCUGGGAAACUGGGUCUAAUACCGAAUAUGACCAACUCUUGCAUGGGGGUUGGUGGAAAGCUCCGGCGGUUUGGGAUGGGCCCGCGGCCUAUCAGCUUGUUGGUGGGGUAAUGGCCUACCAAGGCGACGACGGGUAGCCGGCCUGAGAGGGCGACCGGCCACACUGGGACUGAGACACGGCCCAGACUCCUACGGGAGGCAGCAGUGGGGAAUAUUGCACAAUGGGCGCAAGCCUGAUGCAGCGACGCCGCGUGAGGGAUGACGGCCUUCGGGUUGUAAACCUCUUUCACCAGGGACGAAGCGAAAGUGACGGUACCUGGAGAAGAAGCACCGGCCAACUACGUGCCAGCAGCCGCGGUAAUACGUAGGGUGCGAGCGUUGUCCGGAAUUACUGGGCGUAAAGAGCUCGUAGGCGGUUUGUCGCGUCGUUCGUGAAAACUUGGGGCUUAACUCCAAGCGUGCGGGCGAUACGGGCAGACUUGAGUACUACAGGGGAGACUGGAAUUCCUGGUGUAGCGGUGAAAUGCGCAGAUAUCAGGAGGAACACCGGUGGCGAAGGCGGGUCUCUGGGUAGUAACUGACGCUGAGGAGCGAAAGCGUGGGUAGCGAACAGGAUUAGAUACCCUGGUAGUCCACGCCGU
rnacentral:rRNA from 1 species